rnacentral:rRNA from 1 species
UGGGGAAUAUUGCACAAUGGGCGCAAGCCUGAUGCAGCCAUGCCGCGUGUGUGAAGAAGGCCUUCGGGUUGUAAAGUACUUUCAGCGGGGAGGAAGGGAGUAAAGUUAAUACCUUUGCUCAUUGACGUUACCCGCCGAAGAAGCACCGGCUAACUCCGUGCCAGCAGCCGCGGUAAUACGGAGGGUGCAAGCGUUAAUCGGAAUUACUGGGCGUAAAGCGCACGCAGGCGGUUUGUUAAGUCAGAUGUGAAAUCCUCGGGCUCAACCUGGGAACUGCAUCUGAUACUGGCAAGCUUGAGUCUCGUAGAGGGGGGUAGAAUUCCAGGUGUAGCGGUGAAAUGCGUAGAGAUCUGGAGGAAUACCGGUGGCGAAGGCGGCCCCCUGGACGAAGACUGACGCUCAGGUGCGAAAGCGUGGGGAGCAAACAGG